rnacentral:misc_RNA from 1 species
CUUGUCUAUUUGAAGGACUUUGCUUGACUAAAUCUUAAGAUUUAUAGCAGGUCCUCACGUUAGCUAAACAUAUACUGCGGAGGUAUGUUGACAUCUGGCGAUCAUCUUACCCGGAGGAUAGAAUCUGCGUGUGGCGAGCCACGGGACAGAAACCAUUGAAAUAUUUACUGCCGCGUGUCGCCACGACUAUUCCUUUUAAGGAGAGAUAUAGAGUUACUCUGUGCCUUUGUUAGAUAAAACGUUCAUCCCUUUGACCGCGGCUACGUUCGGCGACUGAUUGUCGCCUCGAGCCCAAGCUCAUGAUCAUAAAUCUCGAACAAUCGGAGCGGCAUUUGUUUAAUCUAAGUUACAACGUUACGAGGAUCGGAAGAAAGGCCAAGGUCCAAGGGACUUAUAUCGACGCUGGCUCUGUCUUCAAUCAGUCACAUGAGCAGGGAGAUGAUAAGUUACCUUGACUCAGGUGCCUCAAAUCACAUGAUCUCGGACAAACAUCGAUUCGUGGAAUUCACGC